rnacentral:misc_RNA from 2 species
AACGCACAUUGCGCCCCUUGGUAUUCCGGGGGGCAUGCCUGUUCGAGCGUCAUUUCACCACUCAAGCCUGGCUUGGUAUUGGGCGUCGCGUGUAUCGCGCGCCUUAAAGUCUCCGGCUGAGCCGUCCGUCUCCGAGCGUUGUGAUACAUAUUCGCUCCGGUGGCCGGGCGGCCGCGGCCGUAAAACUUCUUAAAGGUUGACCUCGGAUCAGGUAGGGAUACCCGCUGAACUUAA